rnacentral:tRNA from 1 species
GUCAGCAAACUAAUUAGUUAGGAUUACAUUUCGGCUGUAAAGUUGGUUUAUUGCCUGUUGAUG